AGUAAUGUAUGGGGAUCUGCCCGAUAGAGGGGAAUAACUACUGGAAACGGUGGCUAAUACCGCAUAAUGUCUACGGACCAAAGCAGGGGCUCUUCGGACCUUGCACUAUCGGAUGAACCCAUAUGGGAUUAGCUAGUAGGUGGGGUAAAGGCUCACCUAGGCGACGAUCUCUAGCUGGUCCGAGAGGAUGAUCAGCCACACUGGGACUGAGACACGGCCCAG
rnacentral:rRNA from 1 species